CACACCACCAUGCCUGGCUAAUGCUUCUCUUUCUAUAAAUGAAGACGUGAGGCCGUGUAAGCUCCAAGAGAGCAGGGAUCUUGUUUGUCUUGGUCACCGUGAUAUUUCAGCUGCUGACCCAGUGCUUGAAGCAUACAAUCUGGAGUCUCCACAACUUUCUUCAUGGAACCACCACCAGGCCCCUUCUGUAGGCUUCUUAUGGAGGCUGAAGGUGUCUACAUGGCAGCAUAAAAUAGUAAUUAAGGACUCUGGAGUCACUGCCCAGGCUCAAAUCCCUGCUGCAAAUUGCGAGGUCUUUGAAGAGAAACUGAGGCCCAUAAAAUUGAAUGGCUCAUCUCAGAUCAAGUGGCCAGAUCAAUGAAGAGAAGUGUCCUUAGGUCCGGCUGCUGGUGUGAAGUAUGCUCUGGAGGUCUGACAUCCACUCUCCCUCAGACUUUCUAAUACGGCAGGAAUUCCGUCCAUGAUGUGCCAGUUCUGGUAAAUUUCCUAGCAAGCUUGAAGGAAGUGAAGGACAACUGCAAGGAAGGGCAGGAUGGAGCAUGCAGCCCACGUAUUCCCCAGCUUGGUGGGGCAGAAUGCGUUCUUGGCUCCUGAGGAAUGGGCAGGCAACGCACAGGGGUCCUGGGAAGAAAGGGAGAGAAUAUCCUGGGAGAGCCAUAGACCCUGGCACCCUCCUGUGGUCCUUCAUCAGGAUAAAUUUCUAAAAGAAGAAUUACUGGCCAAAGGAUUCCUCUUCAGUUGGAAACAGCAGCAAAGUUCACAGGUCGUGAGUGGAUGUAAAGUGGACGGAACAGGUUGUUGCCAGUCUAUUGGAGUAGGAUGGUAGAUGAGCAGUCCCGUUGGCUAACAGGUGUGGGUAUGCCUGUUUUAAAAAUUAGCAUGUUGUAGGGGAAUAUUUCUCAAACUUUUGUCACGUAUCUACCUCUUAGGCAUUUUUUACUUUAUUCACCUGUACUACUAUUUAAUAUUUUUAAAAUUCAACUGAUUUUUUUUUUUGCUUAAAUACAUGUCUUUAAAACUGGAACUUUAUUCGCCACUGUAAAUGGAAAACCAGUGUCAUUUGCCAUAUAUAGAAGUGAACUAUAUAGUAAAUACGGUGAAAGUGAAAUGGUAUCAUCACACUUGUGCUAGAUUCCAUUUCCUAUAGAAGGUUCUGGGUUUCUUAAAAGGCUUGUUAAAAAGAGAGAUGAGUAAAUGUGAGAGGAAUUUAAGACAUACUAGCACCAUUAAGACUUUCUCCUUAAAGUAAUCUGGAGGAUUUAAAUUGAGAAUUGAAAAAAGUAACUUUAUUUUACAUAAGAAAUUAUGUAAAAGAAUUAUGUUAUUUAAUGCCACAUCCAUACGUCAUCAAGAGUCAACUUGGUGACCACUAGUGGCCCAUGUCCCACACUUUGAGAAACGUGUGUUGGGGUGGGAAUCUGAAGUCAGAAAAACUGGAGUAUGAUAACCACCUCAGCACUUAUUAGAGGCCUUCACUUGGGAAUGAUGACCCUUCCUUGUAGGGUUGUAGUGAGAAUGACAGAUAAUAUAUGAAAAGAUAAAACAUGGUGCCAGAGGCAUUAGCAGGUGCUGCGAAGGGGCUGUUGUAUUUCUUGUUAUACUGGAGUGGUUCUCCACCCUGGAUGCAUAUUAGAAUCAUCUGAAGGGCUUUUUAAAAAUACAGAUAUCAUGACCUCACCCCUGGAGAUCCUAAUUUAAUUGGUCAGGGGUAGGGUUCUGGCAUUGUUACUUGUUUAAAACAAAGUUCCUCCUCCUUCCCAGUGAUUUUAAUUUGUAGCCAGUGUUGGAAAAACCAUGGACUUAACCCUUUCCUAAGAGCUUAGAUCAAUUCUGCAGAUUAGCUAUCUGCCAUUUUGAAAAGGUGGCAUAAGCUCAGGGAAGUAUUCACUGGACAAAAGGAAUUCUGGAUGGCGGAAGCUCUAGGCACCAUCAGGCACUUGCUUUGUGCUGGAAGCUGCAUCAAAUGGCUUGAGCCCAAAGUAGACAUAAGGGCUCCUUAUUUCCCUGGACACUGGGAAAAUCAUUUCUCUUAUUCCAAGAGAACAAUUUUGCUGACCAUGGAAAUACUAUCUCUGGUUUCCAGAGGUACAGUGCUGUUCAGUGCUCUUCUGGAGGUUGUAGUAUGAAGAAAUGACAAAGCCAAAAAGGCAUUCUGACCUAGGGAGACUAUCUUUAAAGCAAAAUAUAAAUGUAGGGCAAAAACUCUGCGGUCUCAGGAGGAUUGGAUCCAGGGGAAAAUGUUUAAAAGGCAAACGUUUAGAAUCAAUUAUACAGCUUCAGCAAUGGUUUGCUAUUGUCUUGCUGUCUUUUUGUUUUGCUUUGUGUAGUGUUCAGAAUAUCUGCAUCAUGUAGCAUCUUUCUAUUUUUAGGAGUCUUUAAACUCCUUUAUUCUGAGGCCCCAGAAUAUUCUCAUCCACCACGUACUUUCACGUGGAGAUGACUGACUUCAUCUUUGACAAUGGCAGUUCCCUAACCUUGAUCCAGCACGGGAGCAGGAAUUAUGGCGAAAAUGGCCACCCAAACUGCACCCAGUGGGAAAACAGCAUUAACUCAGCUUUUAAAAAAGUGUCAACUUGGAAAAUCCAAGACCUAGAUCUGAUGCUUAGGGACCCACAAUGCCAGGCAGCAGUCUGGGAGAUGUCACUUCUGGAGCUUCUAAUGAGAUGCAAAUCACCUAGUGAACUACUGGGGAGCUGGGAAACAAUGUCCUGGGUAAAAGCAGAUAAAAAUGGAAUGAAAGAAUUUCUUUGAAGAUUGGAACGACAUUUUAAGUGCUUGCGGAUAUGGGACACCAGAUAGUGUUGGUUUUACUAAGCUAAUUGUGACGGGGUCUUUGAUUCCCUGCAGCAGGGGACCCUGGGGCACUCGUCUCCAGCUCUGCCUCACUCUUUGAGGAGCUAGUUCCAGUUCUACUGUGAGUGUGCAAGGGGCUGGUCAGCUGUAGCAAAACCAGCACUGGACAUGGGGGAUCAGAAGACCCCGGCACACAUAGUUCAAGUUGUGACACAUAUUGGUAUGUGACCUUAAGUGAAUCCCUUACCCCUCUGCUGCCAUGUUUUAUGUGUAAAAUGAUAAAGAGAGGGGUGGACUGAGGUAGUAAUUUUUAAUGGAGAACAUUGGUGUGGCAAAUUACACAUGUUCUGGCCUGAAGAUUCUGAGCUGCUCUCCUUGGAGUCACAUUCUUUCCCAGUGUGUGAACAUCUGUGUGCAGUGAGAGACAUGCCUGAUGGGGAUCUGUUGCCUGAAGCCAGUGUGAAGGCAGGAAAAGGCUUGUUGGAAUUUAAAUACGACCAAUCAAAAUGUGUUUAGGCUUCAAAGGAAAAAGUUCUCCAUAAAUACACCAGAAUUUCAUUCUAACAUGAUUCAUUCAUUCAAAGAGCACAGCUGCACAAGGGGAAGACAGCUGCCACAUGGUAACGCAGUCCUGUAAAGAGUCCCAUGUGGUGAGAGACGUGGUUGGGAGUGAGCUUGGAAGUGGAUCCCCAACCCUCGUCCCCAAACUGAGACUUCACAUGAGACUGCAGCUCUGGCCAACAGCUUCACUGUAACCUCACAACAGACCUUGAGCCACAAGCACCCAGCUAAGCUGCAGGGAGACCCCCUGAAACUAUUGCUACGGAAUAAAAGAUGAAAUGCUCCUGAUUAUUGUAAAUACAAAGUU
rnacentral:lncRNA from 1 species